rnacentral:rRNA from 1 species
AUUGAACGCUGGCGGCAUGCCUUACACAUGCAAGUCGAACGGCAGCACGGGUGCUUGCACCUGGUGGCGAGUGGCGAACGGGUGAGUAAUACAUCGGCACAUGUCCUGUAGUGGGGGAUAGCCCGGCGAAAGCCGGAUUAAUACCGCAUACGAUCUACGGAUGAAAGCGGGGGACCUUCGGGCCUCGCGCUUUCGGGUUGGCCGAUGGCUGAUUAGCUAGUUGGUGGGGUAAAGGCCUACCAAGGCGACGAUCAGUAGCUGGUCUGAGAGGACGACCAGCCACACUGGGACUGAGACACGGCCCAGACUCCUACGGGAGGCAGCAGUGGGGAAUUUUGGACAAUGGGCGAAAGCCUGAUCCAGCAAUGCCGCGUGUGUGAAGAAGGCCUUCGGGUUGUAAAGCACUUUUGUCCGGAAAGAAAUCCUUGGCCCUAAUACGGUCGGGGGAUGACGGUACCGGAAGAAUAAGCACCGGCUAACUACGUG